AGCCAAUGAUGCUUGAAGCACAUCGCGAAGAAUACAUUCAGGGUUACGAUCCUGAAAUCUUCACGAUUCUCACAGCCUAUUGCGGGUGAUAUCACUCGGCUAGGGAGGCCCCUUUUCAAAAUUAAAUUUUUGUAUAAAAUAAUCGUUAUCGGCAUUUUUAUGGAGUAUAUAUAUGUCCGAAAUCGAGAGUUUGUUCCUCUGUCCUAAGAUUUUGCGACCAGGUUGUGACUGUCUUGAAUUUUUACAUCGAAAUUGUUAUUUUUUCUAAUAAGUGGUUGUAGUUAUAUACGAUAAUUUUGACGUUUUUUCUUUAUAUUCAAUGUAUAUGGUGUACGGAUGUUUUAGAUUAGUGGUUUUGAUCGAACUUUAUAUAGUUUCAAAAAUGAAAAGAAAUCGGACAAUUUAUCCUAAAUCGAAUAUUCCGUUGGAUCUUCCAGAUCGCAGAUGUAAUUUAAAAUUUGCCAGUGCGAAUGCAUAUUUCAACAGCAUCCUUUUCCGCAGGAGCUUCACUACCAUUUUCGUCAAGAGUGCAGUCAUUAGUUCUUCUAUCAGAAUCAACAGAAGUCUGUGUACAUCUAAAUUCCCGUCAAUAGACAGAGCAACGACAACAGAGCAAUAGUUCAUGGAAGUCUACUUGCAAUAAAGUUUUGCCACACCCUACAAUAA